rnacentral:sRNA from 1 species
CGACUCGAGCGCCAGCGAGAGAGCGUUGCCGCAGGCAACGACCCGAAGGGCGAAGCGCGCAGCGUUGAGUAAUCCUUCCCCCACCACCA